rnacentral:tRNA from 1 species
GCCUGGGUGGCUCAGUCGGUUAAGCGUCCGACUUCAGCUCAGGUCAUGAUCUCACAGUUCGUGGGUUCAAGCCCCACAUCGGGCU